GUCGCGGAGGUUGUGGAUUGCCUGGUGGAUGCCUUUCGGGGAGGCAUCAGGUGGAGAUCUAGCAGGAGAAGAAGGAGAAAGUGUCAAAGAAGAUGACCGAAGAUAGUCCCGUUGAGUACUCCUUUAAGAACAAGGGUACUGUGAAGACACAGGGACCCUUCCUCUAGCGCCAAUUCUGUUGGUACAGAAUUCAGCCGACGUCGGAGAAGCUGGAGUCGAGGGGAUCGCAUCCACCGUCUGGACCUGCAAGGGAAGUCUAAAUCGGAGUUGGGGGUGCUCCGAUAAGACCCUCCGAUGCUCAAGUUAGUACUCUACCUCAAUAGAAAUGGAGCACUCAAAUGGGAUUUUAGCAGAGUUUUGGGAUAGAGUUUAGAGCUUAGAGAAGAACGUAUCUGGGGUCCCUUUUUAUAGAUGGAGAGUGCAACUGAUUGAUAGCGACGUCUGUAAUUGCCUGAUAGUGGGUCGUUCGGGGCCACACGGAGUUUGUUACGGAGAGUAGUGGCGUCAGGGGGCCAUUCAGGGCCACGUGGAGUUUGUUAUGAAGAGUGGAGUGGUGUCCGUUGUCGAGACUUGCCAG
rnacentral:lncRNA from 1 species